rnacentral:rRNA from 1 species
GACGAACGCUGGCGGCGUGCUUAACACAUGCAAGUCGAACGGAAAGGCCCUGCUUUUGUGGGGUGCUCGAGUGGCGAACGGGUGAGUAACACGUGAGUAACCUGCCCUUGACUUUGGGAUAACUUCAGGAAACUGGGGCUAAUACCGGAUAGGAGCUCCUGCUGCAUGGUGGGGGUUGGAAAGUUUCGGCGGUUGGGGAUGGACUCGCGGCUUAUCAGCUUGUUGGUGGGGUAGUGGCUUACCACGGCUUUGACGGGUAGCCGGCCUGAGAGGGUGACCGGCCACAUUGGGACUGAGAUACGGCCCAGACUCCUACGGGAGACAGCAGUGGGGAAUAUUGCACAAUGGGCGGAAGCCUGAUGCAGCAACGCCGCGUGCGGGAUGACGGCCUUCGGGUUGUAAACCGCUUUCGCCUGUGACGAAGCGUGAGUGACGGUAAUGGGUAAAGAAGCACCGGCUAACUACGUG